GUAGAUACACUGGGGUAGAACUGUACUGUAUAGUAGAUACACUGGGGUAGAACUAUACAUUAUAGUAGACACACUAGGGGUACAACUGUACAGUAUAGUAGAUACACUGGGGUAGAACUGUACUGUAUAGUAGAUACACUAGGGGUAGAACUGUACAGUAUAGUAGACACACUAGGGGUAGAACUGUACAGUAUAGUAGACACUGGGGUAGAACUGUAUAGUAUAGUAGACACACUAGGGAUAGAACUAUACAGUAUAGUAGAUGCACUAGGGGUAGAACUAUACAGUAUAGUAGACACACUAGGGGUAGAACUGUACAGUAUAGUGGACACAUUAGGGGUAGAACUGUACAGUAUAGUAGAUACACUAGGGGCAGAACUGUACAGUAUAGUAGACACAAUAGGAGUAGAACUGUACUGUAUAGUAGAUACACUAGGCGUAGAACUGUACAGUAUAGUAGACACACUGGGGUAGAACUGUACUGUAUAGUAGAUACACUGGGGUAGAACUAUACAUUAUAGUAGACACACUAGGGGUAGAACUGUACAGUAUAGUAGACACAAUAGGAGUAGAACUGUAUAGUAUAGUAGACACACUAGGGGUAGAACUGUACAGUAAUAUAGACACACUGGGGUAGAACUGUACAGUAUAGUAGACACAAUAGGAGUAGAACUGUACUGUAUAGUAGAUACACUAGGCGUAGAACUGUACAGUAUAGUAGACACACUGGGGUAGAACUGUACUGUAUAGUAGAUACACUGGGGUAGAACUAUUACAGUAUAGUAGAUACAUUAGGGGUAGAACUGUACUGUAUAGUAGAUACACUACGGGUAGAACUGUACAGUAUAGUAGACACACUGGGGUAGAACUUUACAGUAUAGUAGAUACACUGGGGUAGAACUGUACUGUAUAGUAGAUACACUGGGGUAGAACUAUACAUUAUAGUAGACACACUAGGGGUAGAACUGUACAGUAUAGUAGAUACACUGGGGUAGAACUGUACUGUAUAGUAGAUACACUAGGGUAGAACUGUACAGUAUAGUAGAUACACUGGGUAGAAC
ensembl:lncRNA